CGCUGCCGCUACACCAGCUCCUUCCUGCGUUUCUUAUUUCUGCUUCCGUGGGAAUAGUGGAGUUACAACUGAGGGCGAUUAGUCCGAGGACAUUAUGGGCGCCUCCAUCCUCCUCGCUCUGGAGGGGAUGCUCCGAAGUCUCCUCCCUCUCCUCCCUCUCUGUCUCCUCCCGUUGUCCUCAGCCGUCCUCUUACCUCGUGGGUCAGGACGUUGACUCUCUGCUGCAGGCUGCCGUUCUCCGAGUGCAGCAGAGCCGUCUCCUUGCUCUCGAAGGAGCAGUACGAGUUGGUGUCCUCCCCGAACUCGUUGAUCAUCGGGAACUGGAGACACAACAGCAGAGGACGGACGCGUAAGGAGGAGGUUGAGAAAAGACAGGUCCAGGUGUGACAACUCCUACUCCAAACAGCCGGCAUCUGCACCCGUUCUCCCAAAAAUCAACACCUGUCUCAGCGGGCCCUGAACGCACCGGGCCCUGAACGCACCGUGGCAGCCCGCGGCCGCCGGCAGCAGCUGUUCACAGAGCGACGCAGGACUUCUGCUCGACACGCAGUCAAAUCACAUUUCCAUCAGUUUGCAGGCCCACAGGCCCGGCUGUGCAGGAAUGUUCCAGGUGUCACCGACUCUCACGCCAAGAAGCUCCGAGGAUAUUCUGAUGUUUCAUGUUCAACGAGUCGGCGUCAGCAUCACAAUUCCUUAUAGAUUUUACACUAAUGUUUACUUUUCAGUUUCAGAGAUUAUAAACCAAAGAUCAAAUCAGUGAAGAUAUAUAAAAGCUGUAUUUUUAGAAAUGUAUAUCCCAUAUUCCAUGUUUGUUUAGAGUAAAUCAUUUGAAACAAUUGAUUAAUGAAUAAAUUAAUCAGUAGAUUAAUUUAAAUUGAGAAUAAUCGUCAUCUUAAUAUUUAAACCUCACGCGUUUCCCUUUGGUCUCAGAUAAAACUCUUACUGAUCUUCAUCCAGCCAGACUAUCUGUACUGAAUAGGUCACAGGUUGAUACCAGGCGUCAAACUGGUCCCACUCAGGCUCCCAGUCCUCCUGUUGGUUUUUUAGAAAUGAGGAUCAAUAUCAUGAAUUUAUAUUUAAACAUUAAUUGAAUCUUCAGCAGCGUUUCUUUUGGAUUCAACUUUAUUCCCCCGCUGCUUGAAGAUCAAAGCUCACCGACGCUUUCCCUGCCUUUGAUCUCUGUGUACAGACGCUGCAUCAAUAAAAACACAAAGUGCCGAGGGCCGAGUGGACAACGUGCUCGUCCUCUGAUUCUCUUCAGAUCAGUCAGAGAACAAAAUGGCCUCUUGGUCGAUGGAAGCAGAAUCUUCUGUGUUUUAACAACAAGGACAAAAACACUGUGAUAUUCGACUUUAAGGCCUUGUGUACAUAUUUUGUGAACAGAU